ensembl:lncRNA
UGGCGUGACUCGCUGCUUCCCCACCCCAACACGUGCAGGCGCUGCUCCCGGCGCCUUGCAGCAGCCAUCCGCCGAAUCGCCGCCUCUGCAAGGUUUCAGGCCCUGGCUGUGCAUCUGCUUCACAUAUUUACGCUGCGCUCCCUCAGCUGCGGGACAAGGGACAAUCCAGGCAUGAGACCAACCACAUCCGGCAACGGCCGAAGACCUAAUGCGAAGCGUAGUCCUUCUGCGAAGUGGCUGCUGCAUGCUCCACCUCCUCCUCGCUCUGCUCCAAAUGCUUUGGGAUAAGCCAUGAAAAUCAGGGCAGGCUUAAGCGGGACCCGUGGCUCCCACUGGUGGGAGAAGAGUCGGGGAGCCAUGGGGGAUCCCCUUUCCUCCGUGAAUGUCCUAACUACUGGUUAUUAUGGGACGGAUGCAUAUAUAUCUCUGCCAUAUUUUGACCAGAAAUUCUAUCCGGGUCAAAACUAGUAAAUAUGUUCCUGGCAAAAAUCGUUAUUUCCAAUGAAUCAACAUUUUCCUGUAGAAAAACCACUUCCAGAAUCUCCCUCAGUCACUUUUACUGCUCAGUGCUCAGCUCAAGGCAAGACGGCAGCUCGACUCAAAGCCACAGGCACGUUCUGGGCUAUGAGCGGGCCAAAACGGGACUCCUGGAAAGCACGGCCGUGACAAGGUGGAAUUUUCCAAACCGACAACAAAACAAAGGAUCGACCGAACUCUGCGCCAGCAAAUCGCUGUCAGGCGGCGUUCAAAGGGAACGGUGCCCUCGGUGCCGCCCACCCUCCCGGGACCAGGAGGAGGGCUUUGCCAGGGGACUACGGUGGUUUCUUGCAAGCCGCUCUCGGCUAACCAGAGCGCAUCCCCCACGGCCGCAAACUGAGACGCGAGCUGGGUCUAACACAUGGCUUCGCUGAAAGCACUUUCUGAUGAAUAUAAAUCCGAGGAGGGGCGACGAUUAAAUCGCUCGUCUAUUUUCGGCAGGGAAGGUAGGUGCAGGGGGAGAGCUCGGCUCCCCCCUCCGCCGAGGAUUCCUCCUUGCCAAUUAGAGCGAGCGCCGCAGAUUCCCCGUCACUCAAUCCCCACAACCUGGGCAACAAAGCAAUUUUCUGUCAUCAGCAAUGCAAAGUGCUCGUGAACGAGCGCUGAAUGUGCAGUCAGCUGCGAGCUUGAGCCCUUCCUGCCGGCUCUUUACACGCUCGGCAAAUCCUUCCCCAAGCCUGCAAGCCCUGGCACAUCCCGCGCACCGAACGCGAAGGAUGCAGGGUCGUCCUCGCUCUCGCCUUCCCGCCUGUCCCCCCAAAAAGCAGCUUCUGUGCUCAGGAGAGAGGCCUGGGAUGGGCUGUGAGGUCCCAGGCGCCCCAAAUGGGAGAUGCCGAUGCUAGAUUUCCCGUGGAUGCAGAAAGCAGCGUCUCAGCCGGGCCAACGCUGGCGAUGGAUUUGCUCCAGCUGGAGCUCCCGCAGCAUGUCCCCAGGGUGAAUGUCCCCUGGGUGUCCUCUCUUGCCUGGCCGCAACGCUGCUCCCACCUUGCUCUGGCCUGAAACCGCGCGACGCUGCUGUUCCUGACGUUUCUCUGCACCGAAAACCAUGGACGUGGGGUGCUCCGUGGGCCGUCGUUCCACCGCUCGGGCCGGCGGAGUCCCUAGCCCUGAGCGGGCUCAGACGUUGCCCUUUCCCGAGGGUUUUAUACUGCCUCCGAACAGCCGGGCAGGGUCAGGUUUCACAGGAAACUCUGCCAUUUCUACCUGAUGCUUUUCAAAAAUGGAAGGAAAAUACUCUGCGGGAUGAGGCGAUAUUCCCACCGCAAUUUGACCCGUCAAAUUAUUUUGCUUUGAGAAAACUGACAGAUUUUGUUCCACUUACUGAAAUUUUAAUCUUUUAAACAGGCGGGUUGCUUGUUAAAAGAGUAACUUGAU